rnacentral:snRNA from 1 species
GCAGUGCUUGCUUUGGUAUCACUAAAGUUAGACAGAUACAGAGAUUAGCAUGUCCCUGCACAAGAAUGACACACAAAUUCAUGAAACAUUCCAUAUCUUU